rnacentral:lncRNA from 1 species
AGGCCACCACUGGGACCCCGGGGCCACCACCGGGACCCCGGGGCCACCACUGGGACCCCGGGGCCACCACCAGGACCCCAAGACCUUGUCCCCAAGGCCACCAACCCCAUAACUGGGUUCCCAAGGCCACCAUCGCCAUGUCCCCAGGGCCUUGUCCCCAGGGCCACCACAUCCCCACCAUGAAGUCCCCAAGGUCUUGUCCCCAGGACCACCGUGUCCCUAAGGCCACCAUGUCCCCAAGUCCUUGUUCCCAUGGCCACCAGAACCCCAAGGCCACCAACCCCAUCCCCAUGUCCCCAAAACCUUGUCCCCAAGGCCACCACCUCCCCACCACGAUGCCCCCAAGACCACCACGCCCCCAAAGCCUCAUCCCCACCACCAUGUCCCCAAGUCCGUGUCCCCAGGGCCACCAGAACCCCAAGGCCACCAUCCCCAUCCCCAUGUCCCCAAGGCCACCACAUCCCCAAAGCCUUAUCCCCAAGACCACGAUGUCCCCAAGGUCUUGUCCCCAAGGCCACCACGUCCCCACCAUCAUGUCCCCAAGGCCAUUGUGUCCCCAAGGUCUUGUCCCCAAGGCCACCAACCCCAUCCCCUUGUCCCCAAAACCUUGUCCCCAAGCCCAUCACGUCCCCACCACAAAGUCCCCAAGACCACUGUGUCCCCAAGUCCUUGUCCCCAAGGCCACCACAUCCCCAAGGCUUUGUCCCCAAGGCCACCAGAGCCCCAAGGCCACCAUCCCCUUGUCCCCAAGCCCUUGUCCCCAUCCCCAUGCCCCCAAGACCUUGUCCCCAGGGCCACCGUGUCCCCAAGGCCACCACAUCCCCAAGACCACCACGUCCCCACCACGAAGUCCCCAAGGCCAUUGUGUCCCCAAGUCCCUGUCCCCAAGGCCACCAGACCCCCAAAGCCUCAUCCCCACCACCAUGUCCCCAAGGCCACCAUCACCAUCCCCAUGUCCCCAAGCCCUUGUCCCCAUCACCACAUCCCCAAGCCUUUGUCCACAGGGCCACCGUGUCCCCAAGACCACCAUGCCCCCAAAUCCUCGUCCCCAAGGCCACCACGUCCCCACCACCAUGCCCCCAAGACCUUGUCCUCAAGCCCACCAUGUCCCCACCACGAAGUCCCCAAGGCCACCAUGUCCCCAAAUCCUCGUCCCCACCACCACGCCCCCAAGCCCUUGUCCCCAAGCCCACCACAUCCCCACCACGAUGUCCCCAAGCCCACCAUGCCCCCAACCCCCUGUCCCCAGGGCACCAACAUCGGCGCGGGCAAGGCGGUGGGCAUCGUGGUGGCCACGGGGGUGAACACGGAGAUCGGCAAGAUCCGCCAUCCCCGAAGGGCUGCCGGCCGUCAUCACCACCUGCCUGGCGCUGGGGACGCGGCGCAUGGCCAAGAAGAACGCCAUCGUGCGCAGCCUCCCCUCCGUCGAGACCCUGGGCUGCACCUCGGUCAUCUGCUCCGACAAAACCGGGACCCUCACCACCAACCAGAUGUCCGUCUGCAAGGUGGGGGGCACCGCGGGGCCUUUGGGGGCUCCCCGUGUCCCCU